GAUGAAGAACGUAGCGAAAUGCGAUAAGUAAUGUGAAUUGCAGAAUUCAGUGAAUCAUCGAAUCUUUGAACGCACCUUGCGCCCCUUGGUUAUUCCAAAGGGCAUGCCUGUUUGAGUACCAUGAACACCUCAACUCUUGUGGUUUCCCACAAUGAGCUUGGACUGUGGAGGUUUUGUUGGCCCUGUGGUCAGCUCCUCUCAAAUGGAUCAGCUUACCGGUGUUUGGUGGCAUUACGGGUGUGAUAACUAUCUACGCUCGUGGUCGUCUCCAAAUAACCUCCAGUGAUGGAGGUUCGCUGGAGCUUAUAAAUGUCUCUCCCCAGUGAAGACAGCCUUUGAACGUUCGAUCUCAAAUCAGGUAGGACUACCCGCUGAACUUAAGCAUAUCAAUAAGCGGAGGA
rnacentral:misc_RNA from 1 species